rnacentral:SRP_RNA from 1 species
UCAGCAUCUCUUUGCGGCAAAAAGCUGUGAACCCCGCCAGGCCCGGAAGGGAGCAACGGUAGCAGCCACCUUGGGUGCUUUGGGACAAGCUGAUGC